AUCAUUUCUCGGCCUUUUGGCUAAGAUGAAGUACAG
rnacentral:snRNA from 1 species